AGCUCAUUGCCUGCAACCUUGUCAAUGACCAAAAAUCUAAGAUGUGUUUAAGUGGAAUUUCAGAAUUAGCAUUGCGUGAGAAAGCACAGUGUAUUUGUUUUGUUUUGUUUUGUGUUUUGUUUUUCUUUUGUUUAGUCGAGUUAGUUUUGCACUAAACACAGGGAUUUACGGCAAACGAUGUCUGGCAAAACAUCACACUUUUCCGAGCACUUCGCUGACAAAUUAUCUCGUUAACCAAACCACUGAGGAUGCUCCACCGUCCUGAUGAGUCACAGUAACGGAGCCCAGACGCUGUGAAUCUGUUUAUCAGGAGAAUCAACACUGGCACAGAGACGGCGGGUCGGAGGGUUGCACGUAUGAGGGACAAUUACAAGAAAAGAAGGGAACAUUAGAAGAGACAAAUGGAGAGGAGGAGGGAUGAACAUUCACAAGCCAGCGGAUCAAAACCAGCAAAUGUGGAGAAUCUUGUUAAAAGGAGGAGUAUGAGUCAACCUCCUCUGGAUCUGAAAUUCUCUCAUGAUGCAGACAGACCAGAGAGUUAUCUCGAUGUAUCAGAAUCAAAGACGAGAUCAUCUGAGCACCAACCAGACAAAACUCUGUGAAUCUCUUACAUUUCUUCAGAUGGAGCUGAAAUAGUUAAUUGUUUCCAGUCCUGGCUUUAUCCAAUCAGGAGCUUCUUCAGCAGCUUGGGUUCAGAAAUCCACCUUUAUGUAGAAAGUAGAAAGUAUGUAAGUCUUGCCAGUUUACUCUUAACUGUAAAGGAGUUUUCCAUAUUGAUUUUUUUACAGGUGUUUUAUUUUCCGUUGUUGUUUUUGUUGUUUAACAGUGUUUUCUGUGUUUUCUGUGCACACACAGUGAGCACAAAUCAGACAUUACUGAACUGAUCUUAACUGAGUUACAAUAAAAUGUCUUGAAUGUAACUAGUUGGGAGAAAAACCAGAGACAACAGCUAUAUACUUAUAAACCUGUUGCUGUCUUGUGUCAUUAAUGUUUAGUGAAAAAAAAAAAAAACGCUUUUUCAUCAAUCUUGACUUAACUUCUUUACACCUUUAAUAAGGAUUAAGCUAUAUUUAAUUUAUCGUUGUAGUAUUUCAUACCUGAAUGCUGGACAGUAUCUUUCAUUUGUAUCCUUGUUCAUUUGUAUUUGCACUAUCGCUCAUAAUUUGGUUAUAAAUUAUUUUAUUUUAAUGCCCAGGGAAUGUUCAUUGGUCCUACCUUACAUAAAAUCAAAUAUAUUGUGUAUAUGUAAAGAUUGUGUAUACUGUAUGUACUGUAUGUUUUUUUAAUAUGAUUCUGCCAAAAAUAAACUAUCAUCAUCAUUUGCUCACCCUCAUGUCCUCAUUGUUUCAGUAUUGCUUUGCUACACAAAACUAAAUGCCUCAAUGUUCAUAUGAUCUCAUAUUUAGAUUUUAGAAGGGUAGAAAAUUAUUUGUAUUUUGGACCAAGGGAUUAAUUUUGUUUCAUUUUUAUUUGCAGUGUAAAGUUGUAUAUAUGCUAUGUAUCAAGAACAUUUUUCAAAGAGACCUGCAAAAAAAAAGAAGAAAAAAAAAAAAAAAGAGCCAGAACAGCCACAUCCAGUAAAAAAAUGAGACAAAUUCCUCUGAAGCAAAUACUUCUGGAUACAGUAGACUGUCUAACACUGAGUGAAGUCCAUAUCACCUGCUUCAACAUGUUCCUUCCUGGGAGAAGACAAGAAGACUAAAGAGACAAAUGUUUAUGUGUGAAAAUAUUUAGGAAUGUGAAUCAAACCCAGUAUCCACACACACAUGCAAAAUACCAAAAUAAUAUUAUUUAUAUGUUAAUUACAUUGCAACAUUGCAAACAACAAUACAUUCAGAGAAGAACUUAACUUGAAGCAUAAAGAAAACAAAGGGAACAAUAGCCUAAAA
rnacentral:lncRNA from 1 species